AGGACGAACGCUGGCGGCGUGCCUAACACAUGCAAGUCGAACGGAACCAGCAAUGGUUCAGUGGCGGACGGGUGCGUAACACGUGAGGAACAUGUCUUUCGGUGGGGGAUAGCCGGCCCAACGGCCGGGUAAUACCGCAUACGCUGCUCGGAGCUCCUGCUCUGGGUCGGAAAGCAGCAAUGCGCCGAUCGAGUGCCUCGCGGCCUAUCAGCUAGUUGGUGAGGUAAUGGCUCACCAAGGCGACGACGGGUAGCUGGUCUGAGAGGAUGGCCAGCCACAUUGGGACUGAGACACGGCCCAGACUCCUACGGGAGGCAGCAGUGGGGAAUAUUGCGCAAUGGGCGAAAGCCUGACGCAGCGACGCCGCGUGUGGGAUGACGGCCUUCGGUUGAACCACUGUCGGAGGACGAAGAUCGUGACGGUACCUACCGAAAGGAAGCACCGGCUAACUCUGUGCCAGCAGCCGC
rnacentral:rRNA from 1 species